rnacentral:rRNA from 1 species
UACGGGGGUGGCAAGCGUUGUUCGGAAUUACUGGGCGUAAAGGGCGCGUAGGCGGGGAGGUAAGUCGGGUGUGAAAUCCCUCGGCUCAACCGAGGAACUGCGCCCGAGACUGCCUUUCUUGAGUCCCGGAGAGGAAGGUGGAAUUCCCGGUGUAGCGGUGAAGUGUGUAGAGAUCGGGAGGAACACCGGUGGCGAAGGCGGCCUUCUGGACGGUGACUGACGCUGAGGCGCGAAAGCGUGAGGAGCAAACGGG